CACGCGCCACGUCUCAGGCCAAAGCCCCCGCCCGUCGUCACUCACCAGCAGCCACCGUCAGGGCCACCUCACCGCCCAUCCAAACCCCGCCGCCUCCCACAGCACCACUCCGAGUCCGACACCGACUUCAGCGUCAUCCCAUGAGCAUGGUUACCGACGAGGUCGGAUCCGCCGGCACCCACGGCCAGGACUGCCUUCCCCGCUCUCGCAGCCCCCGUCCUGAAGCAGCUGACGGCGGCGGCGGCGGCGCUAAGGACAGCUGGGCACGCGAGCUGCUGCGGCGCGGAUGGGGCCUGAGCCGGACGGCCGCCAUGGCCGGCGCCGCGGCGACGGCCGCGCCGGUCGUGGCCCCGCCGCUGAUCGUCCUCUCCGCCGCCGGCGUCGCGCUCUCCGUCCCCUUCGCCGCCUACCUCGCCAGCCUCGCCGCCGCUAACCACCUCACCGGCGCGCUCCUCCGUUCCUGUCAACCGCCGCCGCAGCCGUGCCCCCAAGAAUACGACGACCUGGAGCAAGAAUUCCUCGACGCGUCUAAGGACAGCUGGGCACGCGAGCUGCUGCGGCGCGGAUGGGGCCUGAGCCGGACGGCCGCCAUGGCCGGCGCCGCGGCGACGGCCGCGCCGGUCGUGGCCCCGCCGCUGAUCGUCCUCUCCGCCGCCGGCUUCGCGCUCUCCGUCCCCUUCGCCGCCUACCUCGCCAGCCUCGCCGCCGCUAACCACCUCACCGGCGCGCUCCUCCGUUCCUGUCAACCGCCGCCGCAGCCGUGCCCCCAAGAAUACGACGACCUGGAGCAAGAAUUCCUCGACGCGUCGGAAGGGUACGGACAAGAGGCUCCGGCGUUCGGCCAUUUGGAUACCGAAACAGAGCAGGGCAUCGUCGAAGAGGAAGGCGGGAGCGACACUUCGCUGCCCCUGUCACGGGAUCCCGGUGCGCUUGCCGGCGACGAGGCAGAAGGUGAAUUUUAUGCCCAAGAAUUUUCUCCACCAUCAAAGCCACUGCUUCAAGGAGAGGAUCAUCUGGUUCAGAAAAGAGGAGAAGAUGAAUUUUCUGCACCAUCAAAGCCACUGCUUCAAGAAGAGGAUACUCUGGUUCAGAAAAGAGGAGAAGAUGAAUUUUCUGUACUGGAUUCAGACCAACAGUCAUUGCAAUCAAACAAUUGGAAGGGAAAAGAGGAUGUCGUGUAUUCUGAAAACAAUGAAGAGGAUGACAGAACUAUGGAGGAAAACAGGCCUGCAAAGGAGACGGUGUUGCAAGGCUUCUGUUUUCCUGAAUUGGGCGUGCCAGCCUCCGGUCACGACGACAAUGUGGUCCGGGAAAAGGGAGAAGAUGAGUUUUCUGUACAGAAUUCAGGCCAGCAAUCAGUUCAAUUUCAGUCAAAGAAUUUUGGUGAAAAAGAAGAACAUGAUGGGAAAACUAUGGAGGAAAAUAAGCCUACCAAGGAGACGGUGUCACAAGAGGCUCCGGCGUUCGGCUAUUUGGAUACUGAAACAGAGCAGGCCAUCAUCAAAGAAGAAAACGAGAGCGACACUUCGCCGCUGCUGCCACGGGAUCCUGUUAUUUACGAAGCGUCUGCGCCUGCGUUUGCUGACAAGGAGGUGGAGGAGGAGGUGCAAGGUGAAUUUUCUGCCAAAGAAUCUGGCCAUGGUUCAUACAUAUCGAACCGCGACAACAAUACAGAGGAGCACACACCAUUGGAAGGAAGGGAGUCUACUCUAAUGGAAACACUACCGAGGGGCUUUGGUCUUUCUGCAUCUGCAAAGCCACUGUUUCCAGAAGAGGAUAAUGUGAUUCAGGAAAAGGGAAACGACAAAGAAGCUGAACAAGUAACAGGCAAGCAAUCAAUUCAAUCAAAGAAUUGGAGUGAAACAGAUGAUGACGUGUAUUCUAAAGAAGAAAGUGAUGGUAAAUCCAUGGGGGAAAAUAAGUCUAUGGAGGAGAUGGUGUCGCGAGGCCUCUGUUUUCCAGAAUCGCAUGUGCCAGUAUCAGGCGAAGACGAUGACAAUGUGGUCCAGGAAAAGGGAGAAGUUAAAUUUGAUGCACAGAAUUCAGGCCAACAAUCAUUUCAGUCAAUGAAUUUGAGUGAAAAAGUAGAAGAGGAUGGCAAAACUACAGAGGAAAACAAGUCUACCAAGGAGACACUGUUCUAUGGAUCAUCUGUGCCGGCGUCAGGUGAUGAAGACAAUGUGGUUCAGGAAAAGAGAGAAGGUGAAUUUUCUGCAAGGAAUUCAGGCCAACUACCAUUUCAAUCAAAGAUUUGGAAUGAAAAAGAAGAGGAUGGCAAAACUACAGAGGAAAACAAGUCUACUGAGGUGACGUAUUCGCAAGGUUCCUAUUUUCCCGAAUCAAGUGUGCCAACAUCAGGUGAUGAAAACAAGAAGGGAGAGGAUGAAUUCUCUGUACACAAUUUAGGCCAGUAUUCACUUUCAUCAGACAUCGGAGAUAAAAAAGAGCAUGGCAUAACAAUGGAGAAAAAGAAGUCUACCGAGGACAUGCCACCACGAGACUCUGUUGGCUCUGAGUCACCAGCUCCAGUGUUCCAUGGUGAAGACAACGUGGUUCAGAGCAAGGAAGGAUUUGAAGUUGCAGUGGAGGGAGUGUUCGAAGAAGCUAAUACUAAUACCGAUCUUGUUACGGCCGAAGUGGUUGAUUCUCAAGUGGAAAUUAUUGUAAUUGCCGCACCUGAGAGCGAGGUGCUGCCACCGAGUACUGAUCUUGUAAUGGCCGAAGUGGUUGAUGUGCAAGUGGAGAUUAGUGCAACUGCAGCACCAGAUAGUGAGGUCCUUUCACCGAGUAACCUUGUGGCUCCUGAGUUGCAUCCGGAUAUUGUUACAGGGGAAGUUAAUGAUGUGUAUGUUGCAUUGGUGCUGCUCUGGAACCUGAGAGUGAGGUGCUGCAUGAGAGUAACCUUGCGGUUGGUGCUUCAACGGCAGAUCCUGGUACUGGGGAAAUUUCUGAUGUGCAAGUCAACGUUGUUGCUGCUGCGAAGCCUGAAGAUGAGGUGCUGCAUGAGAGUGACCUUGCAGCUUGUGCUUCAACGGCAGAUCUUGGUAUUGGGGAAAUUUCUGAUGUACAAGUCAACAUUGUUGCUGCUGCUGUGAAGCCUGAAGAUGAGUUGCUGCCACUGAGUAACCUCACAGAAUGUGAGUCACAGGUGGUUAUUGAAACUGCACAUGUUGGUGACAUUGUAGGAAUUUCUGCAAUAGGACGCAAUGUAAAGGAUUCUAGUGAUGUAGACAAACAAGGCAUGGAAUGCUGUUUUGUCCCAGUGGCGUCUAUGCAUGAUACUGAAGAUGUAAUGUCCAGUGGGAGCACGCCGUAUUUCUCCACCAUGGGCGAAGAAAUCGUUGACCUGUCCGAUCAGUCAAGUGAUGUGGGUUACACAGUGAGGAAUGAAGCAUUUAGGAGCAGAGUUGUUGCUGAGAGCGAGGCUCGCUACACGGAAGAACAGUUGAGGGAACAGCUCGACACGAUAAGAACAAUAACCGGGUACAGUGCUGUGCCUUCUUCGACACUGGAAGGCGAGCUGGCAAGGCUGUACAUAUUCGUGGGCGUGGAGCCCCCCGUCGGCUCAAGCAAUAUCUCUGACCGCCUGAUGGCGCUCAGUGCAGAAGUCCUGUUCUUGAAAUCGAUCAUCGGAGUGGACUGAAUAUCUUAGAUCUUCAAACUGAACUCUAUCUUCCUGUAUCUGUAUAUGCAUAGUUGCAGCCGGUUCCUGUCCUCCUGUGGGAUUUUAGAUACUCCCUCCUUCUAUCUAUAUAGGGCCUAAUGCGUUUUUCGAGGCUAACUUUGACCAAGUGUUGGAGUAACUAGUAAAAUGCCCGUGCGUUGCCACGGGAAACAACAAUGAAACAUUGGUUUUGAAAAUUCUUGCUCAUCUAUUAUUGCGAAAAAAUGAGUCUUUUCUUGUAAA